rnacentral:rRNA from 1 species
AUGGCUCGCCCGCUCUUGGCGGCGCUGGUGCUGGCGGCGACGCUGGCGAGCCUCGUGCCGCCGUUGGCGAGCGAGGCGACGACAUGCGAGAGCGCGAGGCGCGGGCACCACCAGUACAGGCAGCCGGUGGGCGUGCGGAGGAUGGUGGUGGACGCGACGGGCGCCGGCGACUUCCUCUCCAUCCAGCAGGCCGUGGACUCGGUGCCGGUGAACAACAGCGUGCGCGUCAUCAUGCAGAUCAACGCCGGCACCUACAUAGAGAAGGUGGUGGUGCCGGCGUCGAAGCCGUACAUCACGCUGGAGGGCGCCGGGCGCGACGUGACGGUGGUGGAGUGGCACGACAAGGCGAGCGACCGCGGCCCCGACGGGCAGCAGCUCCGCACCUACAACACCGCAUCCGUAACCGUUCUCUCUAACUAUUUCACCGCCAAAAACAUCAGCUUCAAGAACACGGCUCCAGCACCAAUGCCAGGCAUGCAAGGGGGUCAGGCGGUGGCGUUCCGCAUCUCCGGCGACAAGGCCUUCUUCUUCGGGUGCGGGUUCUACGGCGCGCAGGACACGCUGUGCGACGACGCCGGCCGGCACUACUUCCGCGACUGCUACAUCGAGGGCUCCAUCGACUUCAUCUUCGGCAACGGACGCUCCCUCUACAAGGACUGCGAGCUGCACUCGACGGCGCGGCGGUUCGGAUCGGUGGCGGCGCACGGGCGGCAGGGGCCCUGCGAACGCACCGGCUUCGCGUUCGUCAACUGCCGGGUGACCGGCACGGGGAUGCUCUACGCGGGGCGAGCCAUGGGGCAGUACUCGCGCAUCGUCUACGCCUACACCUACUUCGACAACGUCAUAGCGCCCGGCGGAUGGGACGACUGGGACCACAACAGCAACAAGAGCAUGACGGCGUUCUUCGGGAUGUAUAAGAACUGGGGGCCCGGUGCCGACGCCGUGCACGGCGUGCCGUGGGCGCGGGAGCUCGACUACUUCACCGCCCGCCCGUUCCUGGGCAAGAGCUUCGUUAACGGAUUCCACUGGCUCACACCAGAUGUCUGA